rnacentral:rRNA from 1 species
CCGACUACAUUAGAUACCCGGGUAGUCCCAGCCGUAAACGAUGCGCGUUAGGUGUAUCGGUGACCACGAGUCACCGAGGUGCCGAAGGGAAACCGUGAAACGUGCCGCCUGGGAAGUACGGUCGCAAGGCUGAAACUUAAAGGAAUUGCGGGGGGGCACCACAACGGGUGGAGCCUGCGGUUUGAUUGGACUCAACGCCGGGAAGCUCACCGGAUAAGACAGCGGAAUGAUUGCCGGGCUGAAGACUCUGCAUGACUAGCUG